CGCGACCCCAGGUCAGGCGGGGUUACCCGCUUAAUUUAA
rnacentral:rRNA from 1 species